rnacentral:lncRNA from 1 species
UGGAUAUUAAGGGAAAGUUAGUGCAAAGGCAGCACCCCUCUUUUGCUGUCAUUGACAUUUAAACUGUGUGGCAGGUUCUCGCGUGGAAAUUGGCCACCGGAGCCGCCAGGUGCCUCCUCCCUGCCGGCCGCGGCACCGACCGGAGCCUCCGCUCCCGCUGACAGGAUGCGUGCGGCGGGACGCCCGGCCUCGGCCAGCGGCAACUAGGAGGGGAAGGGGACGGCUCGUCGGGAUUCAGGCACCCACCCUGGAGGGCAGGCACACGGGGCACAGGAAUUCAAGAUCACACAACCAGCAGCUUCAGUGGAGAAAAACUAUUUUGCUGGCAACUCUUUUUAAAGCACCAUCAUUUCAAAUCAGUGCGCUCUUAAACUAUUGACAGGAGCUUUGACAACAAGACAGGAUGCCUCAUAAAGGUGAGUCUGUUCAUUU